rnacentral:miRNA from 2 species
GCGCUGGGGAAUUUCUGCCAC